UGCCCCAUGGCUGAGUUGGUUACAGCGUCCGACUGUUAUGUAAGGUGCAACAGAAAGUUCAAUCGGAAGGUCGUGAGUUCGAGCCUCACUGGGGCAG